UUUUUUCUAUUUGUGUCUAUCAAAAUACCUUUUAAAUAGGAACAGGAACCAAUAAGCUCUUCCUGUUUCAAUCUAGUGAUGUGCUAGCAUCAUAUAAUUUACAUCUGACACACUUUCCAGGACUGACAGAGUCUGGGUGUGAAUAUGUCCUUGGGCACAGUCAAAAGCACAUGACUWAAGUCAGGGAAAGGCAGUCAUCUCUUUGCAGAGCUGAUUUUACAGCCCCAUGUUGUUGGAACCAUUAUGUUAGAGUAAGUUARAAUAAGAUGGAGGACCCUCAAAUCGUUUCACAGAACUGAGGCAGAURAUACAUCUAGGUAGUGAUUUCUCAGACUUGCUUCUGACUUUACUCUGUAUCAUCAAAGGAUUGGAUUUUUGCCAAAGAAAUCCUCAAGGGCUGUGCACCCCCACCUCUGUCAUCUGAGUCCUCUGGCAGAUCUAGCUGCAAAUGGCUGGAGUGAACAACAUGAGAAGGCAAAACCUCUUCAAGGAGAUUAUGGGAACAGUGGUAAUCAUGGAGGAAYUACAAGAAGAAUUAAAAGUAGUUCUGUCUCUGUGGAAUAGAAACAGCCACCACCAAAAMUGGAGGAGGUUUUUAUCUGACAUACCCAGAACUCUGCAGUCAAGUUUGAAAUCAAUAUCUAACAAAUCCUUCUACAAAGGCUGAGAAGUGUGUGCUAGCACGGUAUCACACCUUGUUUUCGUCAUCUGCAGGCAAAGYAAAUGCUGCUGCAGGAAUGCACUGGGAGAAAGCACAUAAAGAUCUGCAUAAAUGGCACACAAAAUUAUGUCACUGUGAUGACUUUGAAGUGUGUAAUAAAUGCACUCCACGGAAAUAAAUCUCAGUGGGAGAAAUGGUCUUUGGA